rnacentral:rRNA from 1 species
CCUACGGGAGGCAGCAGUGAGGAAUAUUGGACAAUGGGCGCAAGCCUGAUCCAGCCAUGCCGCGUGCAGGAAGACGGGUCCUAUGGAUUGUAAACUGCUUUUGUACAGGAAGAAACACUCCCUCGUGAGGGAGCUUGACGGUACUGUAAGAAUAAGGAUCGGCUAACUCCGUGCCAGCAGCCGCGGUAAUACGGAGGAUCCAAGCGUUAUCCGGAAUCAUUGGGUUUAAAGGGUCCGUAGGCGGUUUAAUAAGUCAGUGGUGAAAUCUGGUCGCUCAACGAUCAAACGGCCAUUGAUACUGUUAGACUUGAAUUAUUAGGAAGUAACUAGAAUAUGUAGUGUAGCGGUGAAAUGCUUAGAUAUUACAUGGAAUACCAAUUGCGAAGGCAGGUUACUACUAAAUGGAUUGACGCUGAUGGACGAAAGCGUGGGGAGCGAACAGGAUUAGAUACCCUGGUAGUCCACGCCGUAAACGAUGGAUACUAGCUGUUGGGCGCAAGUUCAGUGGCUAAGCGAAAGUGAUAAGUAUCCACCUAGGGGAGUACGUUCGCAAGAAUGAAACUUAAAGGAAUUGACGGCNGAGAGNGACGAGACGACGACGAGGAGGAGG